rnacentral:rRNA from 1 species
UGGGGGAUAUUGCACAAUGGGCGAAAGCCUGAUGCAGCGACGCCGCGUGGGGGAUGAAGGCCUUCGGGUUGUAAACUUCUUUUGCUCUGAACAAGGCGCACCAUGGGGUGUGUUGAGUGUAGGGGUUGAUUAGCGCCGGCUAACUACGUGCCAGCAGCCGCGGUAAUACGUAGGGCGCGAGCGUUGUCCGGAAUUAUUGGGCGUAAAGGGCUUGUAGGUGGCUGGUUGGGUCUGUCGUGAAAGCUCAUGGCUUAACUGUGGGUUUGCGGUGGGUACGGGCUGGCUUGAGUGCAGUAGGGGAGGCUGGAAUUCCUGGUGUAGCGGUGGAAUGCGCAGAUAUCAGGAGGAAUACCGGUGGCGAAGGCGGGUCUCUGGGCUGUUACUGACACUGAGGAGCGAAAGCAUGGGUAGCGAACAGG